rnacentral:rRNA from 1 species
UAAUAGUGUAUAUUAAAGUUGUUGCAGUUAAAAAGCUCGUAGUUGGAUUUCGGGUGGGACGCAGCGGUCUCGCAUUGCGUUUGUACUGCUGCAGCCCUCCUUCUUGCCGGGGGCGGCCUCUCGGACUUCACUGUCUGGGGGUCAGAAUCGGCGAUGUUACUUUGAGUAAAUUAGAGUGUUCAAAGCAAGCUUACGCUCUGAAUAUAAUAGCAUGGGAUAACACGACAGGACUCUGGCCUAUCGUGUUGGUCUAUAGGACCAGAGUAAUGAUUAAGAGGGACAGUCGGGGGCAUUCGUAUUCCGUUGUCAGAGGUGAAAUUCUUGGAUUUACGGAAGACGAACAUCUGCGAAAGCAUUUGCCAAGGAUGUUUUCAUUGA